CGCCCUCCCUUGGACGAAAAUCCUAAUUCCUUGCCUAUAAAAAGGGGUCCCCUAUUCUUGGCAUUAGAACAUCAAUUCUCUUGCUGGUUUUUAUUUUUCUAGAGCUCUUCUCCUCCUCCUCUCUUCCUUCUCUAGAUUUUUUCAUCCUUUGGAGUAUCCAAGGUGUUUGAAGAAAAAGAAAGAAAUUAGCCAUCGAAGUUGCUUGCAGGCUAGCAUCUCCAAGCCCCCGAUCUACAGCAGUCUU
rnacentral:lncRNA from 1 species